GGAGGUUCUCAGGUUACACACCCUGGAAUCAGGCUCUCUCCUUUCCAGUUCCGGGUGCAUCACCUGAGAACCGCA
rfam:Myotis brandtii contig205842, whole genome shotgun sequence.